rnacentral:rRNA from 1 species
CUUUACUGUAGCCUGGAAUUGGGUUCGGGCUUUGACUGCGCAGGAUAGGUGGGAGACUAUGAGACAUCCCUUGUGGGGGAUGUGGAGUCAUCAGUGAGAUACCACUCUGUCAAGGCUAGAAUUCUAACUCAUUGCCGUGAUCCGGCAUGGGAACAGUUUCAGGUGGGCAGUUUGACUGGGGCGGUCGCCUCCUAAACGAUAACGGAGGCGCACAAAGGUUCCCUCAGGCUGGUUGGAAAUCAGCCGAAGAGUGUAAAGGCACAAGGGAGCUUGACUGUGAGACUGACAAGUCGAGCAGGGUGGAAACACGGUCUUAGUGAUCCGACGGCACUGAGUGGAAGGGCCGUCGCUCAACGGAUAAAAGUUA